rnacentral:rRNA from 1 species
AGUGAACGCUGGCGGUAGGCCUAACACAUGCAAGUCGAACGGCAGCACAGUAAGAGCUUGCUCUUACGGGUGGCGAGUGGCGGACGGGUGAGGAAUACAUCGGAAUCUACUUUUUCGUGGGGGAUAACGUAGGGAAACUUACGCUAAUACCGCAUACGACCUACGGGUGAAAGCAGGGGAUCUUCGGACCUUGCGCGAUUGAAUGAGCCGAUGUCGGAUUAGCUAGUUGGCGGGGUAAAGGCCCACCAAGGCGACGAUCCGUAGCUGGUCUGAGAGGAUGAACGGCCACACUGGAACUGAGACACGGUCCAGACUCCUACGGGAGGCAGCAGUGGGGAAUAUUGGACAAUGGGCGCAAGCCUGAUCCAGCCAUACCGCGUGGGUGAAGAAGGCCUUCGGGUUGUAAAGCCCUUUUGUUGGGAAAGAAAAGCAGCAGGUUAAUACCCCGCUGUAAUGACGGUACCCAAAGAAUAAGCACCGGCUAACUUCGUG